UACGAAGGGUGCAAGCGUUACUCGGAAUUACUGGGCGUAAAGCGUGCGUAGGUGGUUUGUUAAGUCUGAUGUGAAAGCCCUGGGCUCAACCUGGGAAUUGCAUUGGAUACUGGCAGGCUAGAGUGCGGUAGAGGAUGGCGGAAUUCCCGGUGUAGCAGUGAAAUGCGUAGAGAUCGGGAGGAACACCAGUGGCGAAGGCGGCUCGCUGGGCCGGUCCUGACACUGAGGCGCGAAGGCGUGGGGAGCGAACGGG
rnacentral:rRNA from 1 species